GUCUACGGCCAUACCACCCUGAACGUGCCCGAUCUCGUCUGAUCUUGGAAGCUAAGCAGGGUCGGGCCUGGUUAGUACUUGGAUGGAAGACCAUCUGGGAAUACCAGGUGCUGCAGGCU
rnacentral:rRNA from 1 species